AAAACAGCAGAAUAUGGCGUAAACUGACUAUUUGGUAAGCUAUAAAAGUGAAGAAGAAUGAUCACUUGUCUAAAGUUUAUACAGGUCAAACACAAUUCACUGACAGAUACUAUAAAAAUGAAAUAAAUUUUUCUCAUAUAUUUUACAAAACCAGUCUCAUGUAUUUGAACAAGUGCAAUCUAAUAAAUUAGACCAAACAAACUUCACGGAGCUUAACAUUUUUAUAGAAACAUUAAGUAAUCUAAACUUAUUAUCUUUAUAAGUUUAUAUAAUACAUUCAAGAAAUCUAAACAGGUUCUAAGUUUUAUCAUACUACUCACUGGGAAUUUCUAAAUAUGGAUAAUAGAGUACUUAUCUUUUUUUCAUGUCGACUUCUUCCUUCUUUGCUGUUUACGGAUCUGCUCUUAUCACUCUCUAGAUCACAAUAUGAACCAAACUAUAUCAGGAAACAUCACCACAGACGCAUGCGACAUGCGACGUUUCUUCAAUUGAUGUAUUGGAUGUCUACUUUUUAUUCUUCUAUGUCUUGAUUUCGUACACAAUCAAGAAACCUAUCAACUGGAGACACAAAAGACGUUUCAUUAGUCUCAAACGAGUAUAUAAUGCGAUGUUUAAACAGAGUAUACAGACUAAUUGGUACCUUGAUAGAGUCGAUUAAUCCAUUCAUUACAUCUUUUAAUUCCAAAUCACAUUUAAAUCGUCUGAAAUUCUCCCCG
rnacentral:lncRNA from 1 species